GACGAACGCUGGCGGCGUGCUUAACACAUGCCAGUCGAACGGAAAGGCCCUGCUUUUGUGGGGUGCUCGAGUGGCGAACGGGUGAGUAACACGUGAGUAACCUGCCCUUUACUUUGGGAUAACUUCAGGAAACUGGGGCUAAUACCGGAUAGGAGCUCCUGCUGCAUGGUGGGGUUGGAAAGUUUCGGCGGUUGGGGAUGGACUCGCGGCUUAUCAGCUUGUUGGUGGGGUAGUGGCUUACCAAGGCUUUGACGGGUAGCCGGCCUGAGAGGGUGACCGGCCACAUUGGGACUGAGAUACGGCCCAGACUCCUACGGGAGGCAGCAGUAGGGAAUAUUGCACAAUGGGCGGAAGCCUGAUGCAGCAACGCCGCGUGCGGGAUGACGGCCUUCGGGUUGUAAACCGCUUUCGCCUGUGACGAAGCGUGAGUGACGGUAAUGGGUAAAGAAGCACCGGCUAACUACGUG
rnacentral:rRNA from 1 species